rnacentral:rRNA from 1 species
AUACGUAGGGUGCAAACGUUGUUCGGAAUCACUGGGCAUAAAGCGCACGUAGGCGGCCAAGUCAGUUCGGUGUGAAAGCCCUCGGCUCAACCGGGGAACUGCAUCGGAUACUGCUUGGCUUGAGGAUGGUUGGGGUGAGUGGAACUCCUGGUGGAGCGGUGAAAUGCGUAGAUAUCAGGAGGAACACCAGUGGCGAAAGCGGCUCACUGGACCAUAUCUGACGCUGAGGUGCGAAAGCUAGGGUAGCGAACGGGAUUAGAAACCCCGGUAGUCC